GAUAAGGAAGCAGUUGCAGAUAGUUGGGGGUCUUUUGCCUCUGGGUUCUCGAGAGAGCAGGAGGUCUGUCUCUGAGGCAAGAUGCUACUAGCAGCUGGCCACUGACAGUUGGGCUACUAUAGAAAAGUGAUUGAAGGAGGGAGUGAGUGAUCAUCAAUGAAGUAUACAAGGUGGAGACAAAGGAUGAAGCUCAGCAAGAGAAAACACAAAACUAUACCUGAAACGGCGGUAUACAAUUUUUAGAUGUCUCAUUCGACCAGUACCAGUGGUGUUGCGUCUCUUAGCCUUUGCACUCCAGUUAUCUAGGAUACAAAAUCAAA